CACCUGUGUUGUUGUUUUCUGAAAUGCGGUCCUGCAGUACGGCAUGUGGGACCAGAUCCGUGUAGACCACGGAAAAGAGUUCUACUUGACCCUCUUCAUGCAGGAGAAACUGGCAAGCCACAGAAAUAACACAGUGAGGCAGCCAUAUUUGCAAACGGCGUCAACACAGAAUCAUAUUGUUGAAAGGAUGUGGGCAGAAGUCAACAACAGAGUGAACUACCCACUGAAAACGGCUCUCCUCCAGCUCGUAGACCAGGAGGAACUUGACAUGGAGGACAACGUGACACGAUACUGUGUCUCCACACUCACAUGUCAGGUAGCAGAGCUUGGACUUGGUCGGAUGGUGCAGUCCUGGAAUGCACACAGGAUCCAAGGAAAAGGUUUUCCAAAUCAACUGGCUCUGGGUGGAUGCCCAAAGAAACUGCCGGCAGAUUGUUUGCCAGAGGCUGCAGAAGCUGCACAAGCUUACCGCCAGGAAGUGGGGUCAUCGCUGACGCAAGUCUCCCUUUUUGGGAGAAACCCAUUCUCCACAGCUGAACAACAAACAGCAGCUGAAAAUGAAUUUGCACAGCAAUACUUGGACAUUUCUGUGCUCUACGACAAUGCUGUGAACAACAAUCCGACCAGUUAUCAAAGCGGGAUCAAGGACCUCAUCAACAUUGUAAAGAGAUAUGUGUAGAGAGAUCUGAAACGUCACCAACAUUUUUGUAACAUAAUGUUCUUCAUAUAUUUUUAUUUUUUCUGACUUUGUUUUUGUUAUUCUUGUAUUAAAGACUGUUGUUUUUUCA